GACGAACGCUGGCGGCGUGCUUAACACAUGCAAGUCGAACGGUAAGGCCCCAGCUUGCUGGGGUACACGAGUGGCGAACGGGUGAGUAACACGUGGGUGACCUGCCCUGCACUUCGGGAUAAGCCUUGGAAACUGGGUCUAAUACCGGAUAGGACCGCACCGUGAGGGUGUGGUGGAAAGUUGUGCGGUGUUGGAUGGGCCCGCGGCCUAUCAGCUUGUUGGUGGGGUAAUGGCCUACCAAGGCGGCGACCGGUAGCCGGCCUGAGAGGGUGGACGGCCACAUUGGGCCUGAGAGACGGCCCAGACUCCUACGGGAGGCAGCAGUGGGGAAUAUUGCACAAUGGGGGGGAGCCUGAUGCAGCGACGCCGCGUGGGGGAUGACGGCCUUCGGGUUGUAAACUCCUUUCACCGUCGACGAAGGUUUUCUGACGGUAGAUGGAGAAGAAGCACCGGCUAACUACGUG
rnacentral:rRNA from 1 species